GACGGAGGAUGCAAGCGUUAUCCGGAAUGAUUGGGCGUAAAGCGUCCGCAGGUGGCAGUUCAAGUCUGCUGUCAAAGACCGGGGUUUAACUUCGGAAAGGCAGUGGAAACUGAACAGCUAGAGUAUGGUAGGGGCAGAGGGAAUUCCUGGUGUAGCGGUGAAAUGCGUAGAGAUCAGGAAGAACAUCGGUGGCGAAGGCGCUCUGCUGGACCAUAACUGACACUCAGGGACGAAAGCUAGGGGAGCGAAUGGG
rnacentral:rRNA from 1 species